rnacentral:rRNA from 1 species
UAUACAUGCAAGUCGAGCGGACAGAUGGGAGCUUGCUCCCUGAUGUUAGCGGCGGACGGGUGAGUAACACGUGGGUAACCUGCCUGUAAGACUGGGAUAACUCCGGGAAACCGGGGCUAAUACCGGAUGCUUGUUUGAACCGCAUGGUUCAAACAUAAAAGGUGGCUUCGGCUACCACUUACAGAUGGACCCGCGGCGCAUUAGCUAGUUGGUGAGGUAACGGCUCACCAAGGCAACGAUGCGUAGCCGACCUGAGAGGGUGAUCGGCCACACUGGGACUGAGACACGGCCCAGACUCCUACGGGAGGCAGCAGUAGGGAAUCUUCCGCAAUGGACGAAAGUCUGACGGAGCAACGCCGCGUGAGUGAUGAAGGUUUUCGGAUCGUAAAGCUCUGUUGUUAGGGAAGAACAAGUACCGUUCGAAUAGGGCGGUACCUUGACGGUACCUAACCAGAAAGCCACGGCUAACUACGUGCCAGCAGCCGCGGUAAUACGUAGGUGGCAAGCGUUGUCCGGAAUUAUUGGGCGUAAAGGGCUCGCAGGCGGUUUCUUAAGUCUGAUGUGAAAGCCCCCGGCUCAACCGGGGAGGGUCAUUGGAAACUGGGGAACUUGAGUGCAAAAGAGGAGAGUGGAAUUCCACGUGUAGCGGUGAAAUGCGUAAAAUGUGGAGGAACACCAGUGGCGAA